rnacentral:SRP_RNA from 1 species
GCCAGGCCUGGUGGCGAAUGCCUGUAGUCCCAGCUAUUCGGGAGGCUGAGGCUGGAGGAUCUCUUGAGCCCAGGAGUUCUGGGCUGUAGUGCGCUAUGCCAGUCAGGUGUCCGCACUAAGUUUGGUGUCAAUAUGGUGACCUCCCGGGAGCGUGGGACCACCAGGUUGCCUAAGGAGGGGUGAACUGGCCCAGGUUGGAAACGGAGCAGGUCAAAACUCCUGUGCUGAUCAGUAGUGGGAUCUCGCUUGUGAAUAGCCAUGACACUCCAGCUUGGACAACAUAGCGAGACCCCAUCUGU